rnacentral:rRNA from 2 species
AAUCCAUAGGUUAAUGAGGCGAACCGGGGGAACUGAAACAUCUAAGUACCCCGAGGAAAAGAAAUCAACCGAGAUUCCCCCAGUAGCGGCGAGCGAACGGGGAGGAGCCCAGAGCCUGAAUCAGCAUGUGUGUUAGUGGAAGCGUCUGGAAAGGCGCGCGAUACAGGGUGACAGCCCCGUACACAAAAGCGCAUGUGCUGUGAGCUCGAUGAGUAGGGCGGGACACGUGGUAUCCUGUCUGAAUAUGGGGGGACCAUCCUCCAAGGCUAAAUACUCCUGACUGACCGAUAGUGAACCAGUACCGUGAGGGAAAGGCGAAAAGAACCCCGGCGAGGGGAGUGAAAAAGAACCUGAAACCGUGUACGUACAAGCAGUGGGAGCCCCACCACCAAAGCAUUUGCUGUACCGCGUUGACGGAGCGAAGCGACGUCAAACCGAUAAAACAGCAGUGUAAAGUGAGCCGCAGGGCGCUUU